rnacentral:rRNA from 1 species
GACGAAGGGGGCUAGCGUUGUUCGGAAUUACUGGGCGUAAAGCGCGUGUAGGCGGUUGUCCAAGUUGGAUGUGAAAGCCUUGAGCUCAACUCAAGAAAUGCAUUCAGGACUGGAUGACUAGAGGACCGGAGAGGAUAGUGGAAUUCCCAGUGUAGUGGUGAAAUACGUAGAGAUUGGGAAGAACACCAGUGGCGAAGGCGGCUCACUGGCCCGUAACUGACGCUGAGGUGCGAAAGCGUGGGGAGCAAACAGG